rnacentral:rRNA from 1 species
AGAGUUUGAUCCUGGCUCAGGAUGAACGCUGGCGGCGUGCUUAACACAUGCAAGUCGAACGGAGAUUACUUUUUAGCUUGCUAAGUUGUAAUCUAGUGGCGGACGGGUGAGUAACGCGUGGGUAACCUGCCUUAUACCGGGGGACAACAGUUGGAAACGACUGCUAAUACCGCAUAAGCGCACAGAUAGGCAUCUAUCAGUGUGAAAAACUCCGGUGGUAUAAGAUGGACCCGCGUCUGAUUAGCCAGUUGGCGGUGUAACGGACCACCAAAGCGACGAUCAGUAGCCGGCCUGAGAGGGCAAACGGCCACAUUGGGACUGAGACACGGCCCAAACUCCUACGGGAGGCAGCAGUGGGGAAUAUUGCACAAUGGAGGAAACUCUGAUGCAGCGACGCCGCGUGAGUGAAGAAGUAUUUCGGUAUGUAAAGCUCUAUCAGCAGGGAAGAAAAAAGACGGUACCUGACUAAGAAGCACCGGCUAAAUACGUGCC